GGGGGUAGAGCUCAGUGGUAGACUGCAUGCUUAGCGUGCACGAAGUCCUGGGUUCAAUCACCAGUACCUCCA
rfam:Camelus ferus unplaced genomic scaffold scaffold1408, whole genome shotgun sequence.